rnacentral:rRNA from 1 species
GACGAACGCUGGCGGCGUGCUUAACACAUGCAAGUCGAACGGAAAGGCCCUGCUUUUGUGGGGUGCUCGAGUGGCGAACGGGUGAGUAACACGUGAGUAACCUGCCCUUGACUUUGGGAUAACUUCAGGAAACUGGGGCUAAUACCGGAUAGGAUCUCCUGCUGCAUGGUGGGGGUUGGAAAGUUUCGGCGGUUGGGGAUGGACUCGCGGCUUAUCAGCUUGUUGGUGGGGUAGUGGCUUACCAAGGCUUUGACGGGUAGCCGGCCUGAGAGGGUGACCGGCCACAUGGGGACUGAGAUACGCCCCAGAAGCCUACGGGCGGCAGCAGUGGGAAAUAUUGCACAAUGGGCGGAAGCCUGAUGCAGCAACGCCGCGUGCGGGAUGACGGCCUUCGGGUUGUAAACCGCUUUCGCCUGUGACGAAGCGUGAGUGACGGUAAUGGGUAAAGAAGCACCGGCUAACUACGUG